GUGCUCUCUAUUAUCUCUAUCAUCUCAUCUCGUUACUAGAAAUCUCAUUUCUCUCCUCACAACAGUUACCAAGGAGCAAUUUCAUUUCUUCAUUUGCUCCAUCCUCAAAACUCAAAUAGGAUGGAGCAAGAUCAAAGAGUUAAGAGGACGCGGAAAAAAUAAAUGCUUCUGGAUAGACAAUGGGGUCCAAGUAUUAAUUGCAACUCUUCAAGAUAUGUUUUAUGAUCCUUCGUGGAAGACAGAUGGUGGUUUUAAAAGUAAUUACAUGGUUGAGGUGCAUAGGAGAAUGCUAAGUAAAGUGGAUGUCAAUGGAAUGAUAUGGAGAAAAAAAUAGCAUGUGAAAAUCAAUGGUUUGAUAGCUAUUGUCAGAGGUUAAAGGAAUGUGGGAUUUCAAAUUUUCAUAUUUGAAUCAACUUGAAUUAGUCAAUGGAAGGGAUAGAGCUACUGGCGCUGUUGUUCAAGGGUAUGUAGAUGCUAUUCACAAUUUGGAAGUUUAUCAAAAUGAUGAAAGUGGAGGUGAAAAUCUAGGCGUAUUCUACCAUUCUUCAAAUGAGUACAAAGAAGACAAUAAUGUGUAUUUUGAAUUAGAAUCAAGCCUAACUACUUCACACAACACUGAUGUGACAAAGUCAGCUACAAAACAAAAACCAUUAACAAUUGGAGAUAAAGUUGCAAAGAAAAAAAAACAACAGCGACACACUUGGAUAUUAGGACACAACUACACGACAUGAACAGACUUUACACUUUUGUGGAUGGUUUUAAUGUAAAAUUUUCAACCGUUGCAAAUGUCAUAGUAGAAGAGAAUUUGUGGGAAACAAAUGGCUU